CCUACGGGAGGCAGCAGUGGGGAAUAUUGCACAAUGGGCGAAAGCCUGAUGCAGCAACGCCGCGUGAAGGAAGAAGGGUUUCGGCUCGUAAACUUCUAUCAACAGGGACGAAAGAAAUGACGGUACCUGAAUAAGAAGCCCCGGCUAACUACGUGCCAGCAGCCGCGGUAAGACGUAGGGGGCAAGCGUUAUCCGGAAUUACUGGGUGUAAAGGGUGAGUAGGCGGCAUGGUAAGCCAGAUGUGAAAGCCUUGGGCUUAACCCGAGGAUUGCAUUUGGAACUAUCAAGCUAGAGGACAGGAGAGGAAAGCGGAAUUCCUAGUGGAGCGGUGAAAUGCGUAGAUAUUAGGAAGAACACCAGGGGCGAAGGCGGCUUUCUGGACUGAAACUGACGCUGAGGCACGAAAGCGUGGGGAGCGAACAGGAUUAGAUACCCUUGUAGUC
rnacentral:rRNA from 1 species